GAUGAACGCUAGCGGCAGGCCUAACACAUGCAAGUCGAGGGGCAGCACGUCUUCGGAUGGUGGCGACCGGCGCACGGGUGCGUAACGCGUAUGCAACCUACCUUUAAUUGGAGCAUAGCCCCGAGAAAUCGGGAUUAAUACUCCAUAACAACAAGAAGUGGCAUCACUUUUUAUUUAAAGCUUUGGCGGUUAAAGAUGGGCAUGCGUGACAUUAGUUAGUUGGUGAGGUAACGGCUCACCAAGACUUCGAUGUCUAGGGGUUCUGAGAGGAUUAACCCCCACACUGGUACUGAGACACGGACCAGACUCCUACGGGAGGCAGCAGUGAGGAAUAUUGGUCAAUGGGCGCAAGCCUGAACCAGCCAUGCCGCGUGAAGGAUGAAGGCCUUAUGGGUUGUAAACUUCUUUUAUACGGGAAUAAACUUAGUUACGUGUAACUAACUGCAGGUACCGUAUGAAUAAGCACCGGCUAACUCCGU
rnacentral:rRNA from 1 species